AUGAACGCUGGCGGCGUGCCUAAUACAUGCAAGUCGAGCGAACGGACGAGAAGCUUGCUUCUCUGAUGUUAGCGGCGGACGGGUGAGUAACACGUGGAUAACCUACCUAUAAGACUGGGAUAACUUCGGGAAACCGGAGCUAAUACCGGAUAAUAUUUUGAACCGCAUGGUUCAAAAGUGAAAGACGGUCUUGCUGUCACUUAUAGAUGGAUCCGCGCUGCAUUAGCUAGUUGGUAAGGUAACGGCUUACCAAGGCAACGAUGCAUAGCCGACCUGAGAGGGUGGUCGGCCACACUGGAAGUGAGACACGGUCCAGACUCCUACGGGAGGCAGCAGUAGGGAAUCUUCCGCAAUGGGCGAAAGCCUGACGGAGCAACGCCGCGUGAGUGAUGAAGGUCUUCGGAUCGUAAAACUCUGUUAUUAGGGAAGAACAUAUGUGUAAGUAACUGUGCACAUCUUGACGGUACCUAAUCAGAAAGCCACGGCUAACUACGUG
rnacentral:rRNA from 1 species